rnacentral:rRNA from 1 species
CACGUAGGGCGCAAGCGUUGUCCGGAAUUCUUGGGCGUAAAGAGCUCGUAGGCGGCCUGUUGCGUCCGCUGUGAAAACUCGGGGCUUAACCCCGAGCCUGCAGUGGAUACGGGCAGACUAGAGGUAGGUAGGGGAGAAUGGAAUUCCCGGUGUAGCGGUGAAAUGCGCAGAUAUCGGGAGGAACACCGGUGGCGAAGGCGGUUCUCUGGGCCUUACCUGACGCUGAGGAGCGAAAGCGUGGGGAGCGAACAGG